GGGGACGAGUGGUGUCGACAGGGGAAGAAUACCCCAGAAUUGCAGGCCGAGGUGCCAUUGAUCUCGUAAAACAAGUGGCGAAAAAUAAACGACAAUUACGUCUACGCUAGCUAAGCUGGACACAUCCCCCUCACCUCACCCGAUGGGCGGGGGUGGAUGACGAGCAGUCGGGGUGCGGCAAUCCUGAGGUCGAUAAGGGUUACCAAAGAAACUAUCGACUGGCUCAACCGUACUCCGUCGACAGAGGACGGUUGGGUGAGAGCAAAGAGCCGACUAAGCCUGUAGGAUAUUCUGGGCCGGCUUCCUCUGGACGGGGAGUUCGACUCUCCCCCGUCUCCACCA
rnacentral:tmRNA from 1 species